UACGAAGGGGGCUAGCGUUGCUCGGAAUCACUGGGCGUAAAGCGCACGUAGGCGGACUCUUAAGUCGGGGGUGAAAUCCUGGAGCUCAACUCCAGAACUGCCUUCGAUACUGAGAGCCUUGAGUCCGGGAGAGGUGAGUGGAACUGCGAGUGUAGAGGUGAAAUUCGUAGAUAUUCGCAAGAACACCAGUGGCGAAGGCGGCGCACUGGCCCGGUACUGACGCUGAGGUGCGAAAGCGUGGGGAGCAAACAGG
rnacentral:rRNA from 1 species